UGACAGUUCAUGUCAUUUCGACAUCUGGAAACUUCAGAAAGAAAACGUAUCUUCCUUCUUUUCUUGGUUUUGGACCAGACACGGGAAGAACAUCGCAAUUUUGCGGAUUUGAAAGAAGGUUUCAAAGUAUUCAUGAAUCGACAAUUGAUUUAUCUCAAGGGAGAUAAUCAAUUAUCUACUGUCGUAGGAUUUAUGUAGGAAUUACUCGAAACUUUCAAAUUGAAGUUUACCUUGUCGAAGAACUCGGACAUCUCAAAAGGCCACACUCCAUCUCAGGCUUUCAUUUUCCAUUUGCCUGUUCAUUGCUAACUGAUAACGCCCAACUUUGAGAAUAGCGGUUGAUCUCCACUUCUUGGACUCCUAGAUGACUCACCACUGUUGGUAGCGACAUAAAAGUGGAUGAUCGUAAGCCUCAUGUCUCAAAGAAGGUAAUAUCGUUCCUUUUUAUCGUUCAUUUUGGUCUGAACGGGACGUAUUGGCAUCACAGAAGUACCAUCACUACCAAAACUGUCAGCGUUACUGCGCAACCCACUUCAUCUAGCUGAAAAGUAUCUACUUUCACUUAGUAUCAAUUAUAUUAGUUUAGUGUAUUGUGUUGAAAUUUUAAAACUUUGCUACUUAAAACUUUAAGCAACUGUAAACCGACGGUAUGCAUACUAGUUGAAUUGCAUACAUUAGUUGAAUUAGACAACGAAGAAAUUAUUGUGACAAAAUCCUUCAUUUUAAUAUCAUUUAUUUUUCCUUGUGAAUAAAUCAAAUUUUGUAGAUUGAUCACGGAAGUUAGAACUGACAAUCUUCGUUAUAAUGUUUCUUUACCUUUUAUUAUUGUUGAAAAAAUUAUUGUCUUUCUUUAUUUUUGAACAACGCUCUCUUUCCCAUAACGAUCAUCAAUAAAAUAUUCGAAAAUUAAUUUACAA